ensembl:lncRNA
CGGGUUGUUGUUGUCCAUUUCUAGAAUUCUUUGUUUUGUGAAUUUGCAUAAUUAAAAAGGGCAUACCUCUUCUUUGAACAGCUUCUACAAAAUUGAGGCGUUCCCAAAGUUCUUGUUUGUAAAUACCUAGAAAAUGCAUAUUUACAAGUAUGUGUUCUCUGCAAAGUCAAAAAAUCUGGACCUUUGAGCUAGAAUGUGACAAAAAUGAAACCAUGCCGUGUAUGAAGCUCUCUGCUGAAAACAAAGUUAUUAGCAGUGGGGUUCUGAGGAAGUGACCUUUAGAGAGAUUUAUGAGGGAUUAACUACCAUGUGGAAGCCAAGAAACAGCAGGACGAUUUAUUAUUUUUUAGCAAAUUGCAGAUGGGGCAGUGAUGUGUUAACAAUUCAUGAAUUACAUGACAGGACUGAGCACUGGACCACUGUUGUCACUAUUGCUUUGUCGCUUUUUUUUUUUUUUUUUUUUGUUAAAUAAAAUAGGCAGAUACAGUGUGCGAGCAUCUUUUUAUACUUCAUUUCCACAUGUCUCAAAUCAGCUGGGUUUCAAGUAAAAUUCAUGUGCAUGUACGUGUGUCUUCCUGUUGUGUGUCAACUCCUUUUGAGUAACUCAGCGGCAUGAUUCAUCCUGUAAUUUAUUAAGGUGUUACAAAUAUAGAAAAAUGUUGUCGUAGUGAAAUGCAAAGCACGAGCAGAGCAAUUUCAGUUAGAUUAAAGAGAAUGAAACGUGUCUACUGCAGUAGCGUUAAUAUAUCUAAUCUGAAUAAAAAGGUUCUGUGAACCACGAGGAGCAAACCCAAUAUUUCCGAUUCAUUCUUUAUAUUCACACCCUACAAGCAAAACAGUCAAAGGUUUCUGAACAGCGAGUUCUAUGUUACUCUUCAUUCAGCAGUUUUAAAAGGUUGAUAUUACAUACUCUGAAUUUCCAAAAUACCCAGCUCAUGGAAAAGCUGCUGACUUUGAGCAGGACUGGAAAUGAUCAAUGACCAAUGUUUGCGACAAAACAACAAAAGAUGUAAGUAAUAUUUAUUCCUAAGGACUUCAAAACCUUUGGACAUUCUGGCCUAAAACUAAGUGGCAAGAAACUGGCAAAUCAUCUGAGAUCAGGUUAACAUAACGGGUCUAUCAUCAACUUUGGGCAAUUUUCUAUUCAUUGUUAUUAUAAAGAAAAUAAAGAAGCAUAUAUAUAUAUAUAUAUUUAAAAAAAAGUUGUCACACCUACAACAUUUCAGGGUGUUUACUCUUAAGUUCCAACAUACGUAAGACCAAUAAUUUAGUGUGUUCAAAAACAUCUGACUGCAAUUCUAGAUCUUCU